UCUAGUAUCCUCAAAUCCACAGCUCCUCUUUUUCCUCCACCGUCAUCCAUCAUGCAAUCCACUUCAGUUUAGUUUUCCUCCACCGUCAUCCACCACGCCUCUGCCUUCAGUUCACCGGCUCUCCACUUUUUAAGAUACAAGACGGUUGGGAGAGGAGGUGGAAAGAAAACAAAGUGACCGUAGCAUUCCUCCCGGAAGACUUCAGAGUUGCAUUCAAAAUAGAGGUAAACACUUGACGAACCAACCAAAUAUUGGAGGAGUCAACAAUAACAGUAACCCAGCAAUCGAAGAUGAGAUUGCUUCCAUGGUUUGUAGAAAAAUUCUUAUGCAAGUUUUGGGACAAAAGGUCGGGAUACAUUCGUGGGAAAGGGAUGGGAGUACGUGCAUAUGUUAAGGGAAAAGCCGUAAUAGAACAACGUAAGAUUGUGGAGCAACAACAAGAGAAAAUUCAACUGCAAGAACAAAAAAUAAAAGAGUUGGACGGAAAAAUUGAAGAAUAUAAAACACAACAACAAGAGGCAAUGGAGGCUUUUAGACAAAGCAAAUUGCAACAACUCCAAGUAACUAUGCCAUGAAUGCCAAGCAGGUAUGCAUCAUAUGAUGAUGUGCAGUUUUUGAUUCUUGAUCUCGAAACCGACAUCUACUGUGAAUUUGGAUGGACACUAUCCAAUAUCUAUGAAUCUCUUUUGUAGUGAAAUUCGAUGUGCACUACGCAAUAUAUAUGAAUCUCUUUUGUAAUCAACAAACUUAUAGCAUUCAUUUUGGGUUUUAA